rnacentral:rRNA from 1 species
UACGUAGGGUGCAAGCGUUGUCCGGAAUUAUUGGGCGUAAAGAGCUCGUAGGCGGCUUGUCACGUCGACUGUGAAAACCCGGGGCUCAACUCCGGGCCUGCAGUCGAUACGGGCUGGCUUGAGUGCGGUAGGGGAGACUGGAAUUCCUGGUGUAGCGGUGAAAUGCGUAGAUAUCGAGAGGAACACCUGCGGCGAAGGCGGGUUGCUGGGCUGACACUGACGCUGAGGCGCGAAAGCUAGGGGAGCGAACGGG